rnacentral:rRNA from 1 species
AAUAUUGGACAAUGGGGGCAACCCUGAUCCAGCCAUGCCGCGUGUGUGAAGAAGGUCUUCGGAUCGUAAAGCACUUUAAGUUGGGCGGAAGGGCCUUAGGUUACUACCCUGCAGUUUUGACGUUACCAACAGAAUAACCACCGGCCAACUCUGUGCCAGCAGCCGCGGUAAUACAGAGGCUGCACGCGUUAAUCGGAAUUACUGGGCCUAAAGCGCGCGUAGGUGGUUCAGUAAGAUGGGUGUGAAAUCCCCGGGCUUAACCUGGGAACUGCUUUCAUAACUGCUGAGCUAGAGUACGGUAGAGGGUAGUGGAAUUUCCUGUGUAGCGGUGAAAUGCGUAGAUAUAGGAAGGAACACCAGUGGCGAAGGCGACUACCUGGACUGAUACUGACACUGAGGUGCGAAAGCGUGGGGAGCAAAC